UUACGGCCACAUCACAUCAAAACACCGGUUCCUGUACGAUCACCGAAGUUAAGCAACGUCAAGCCUGGUCAUUACCUAAAUGAGCGACCGCUUGGUAAUACCAGUUGCUGUAAG